rnacentral:rRNA from 1 species
UGGUGGAGUGAUUUGUCUGGUUAAUUCCGAUAACGAACGAGACUCUAGCCUGCUAAAUAGACGGGGCAAUCCUUAGUGGUUGACCCGAUCGCUUCUUAGAGGGACAAGUGGCGUUCCUAGCCACGCGAAAUUGAGCAAUAACA